ACACGCAAUAAAGCUCCGACCUUACGGGACGAGCGCAUUUAUUAGACCAAAACCAAUCGGGCUUCGGCCUGAACGGUGGUGACUCUGAAUAACUGAGCUGAUCGCAUGGUCUUUGUACCGGCGACGCAUCUUUCAAGUGUCUGCCUUAUCAACUUUCGAUGGUAGUUUAUGUGCCUACCAUGGUUGUUACGGGUAACGGAGAAUAAGGGUUCGACUCCGGAGAGGGAGCCUGAGAAACGGCUACCACAUCCAAGGAAGGCAGCAGGCGCGCAAAUUACCCACUCUCGGCACGAGGAGGUAGUGACGAAAAAUAACGAGGCGGUUCUCUAAGAGGCCCGCUAUCGGAAUGGGUACAAUUUAAACCCUUUAACGAGGACCUAUGAGAGGGCAAGUCUGGUGCCAGCAGCCGCGGUAAUUCCAGCUCUCAAGGUGUAUAUCGCCAUUGCUGCGGUUAAAAAGCUCGUAGUUGGAUCUGCGCCUUCGGACUCGGUCCGCCCAACGGGUGUGAACUGAGAUCCAAGGCUUAUACUGCUGGUUUUCCCUUGAUGCUCUUUACUGGGUGUCUUGGGUGGCUAGCGAGUUUACUUUGAAAAAAUUAGAGUGCUUAACACAGGCUAUCGCCUGAAUACUUGUGCAUGGAAUAAUAGAAUAAGACCACGGCUCUAUUUUAUUGGUUUUCGGAACUGUGAUAAUGGUUAAGAGGGACAGACGGGGGCAU
rnacentral:rRNA from 1 species